rnacentral:rRNA from 1 species
AUUGCCUACGGGGGGCAGCAGUAGGGAAUCUUGCUCAAUGGGGGAAACCCUGAAGCAGCAACGCCGCGUGGAGGAUGAAGGUUUUCGGAUUGUAAACUCCUUUUGUUAGAGAAGAUAAUGACGGUAUCUAACGAAUAAGCACCGGCUAACUACGUGCCAGCAGCCGCGGUAAUACGGAGGGUGCAAGCGUUACUCGGAAUCACUGGGCGUAAAGAGCGCGUAGGCGGGAUAGCCGGUCAGAUGUGAAAUCCUAUGGCUUAACCAUAGAACUGAAUUUGAUACUGUUAUUCUAGAGUAUGGGAGAG